CGAGUGGCGAACGGGUGAGUAACACGUGAGUGAUCUGCCCUCAACUUCGGGAUAAGCCUGGGAAACUGGGUCUAAUACUGGAUAGGACCAUCCUUUAGUGUGUGAUGGUGGAAAGUUUUUCGGUUGGGGAUGAGCUCGCGGCCUAUCAGCUUGUUGGUGGGGUAAUGGCCUACCAAGGCGUCGACGGGUAGCCGGCCUGAGAGGGUGUACGGCCACAUUGGGACUGAGACACGGCCCAG
rnacentral:rRNA from 1 species